AUGUCAAAUCAGCAUGCCCUUUAUGACCUGGGCCACACACGUACUACAAUGGCCGUUAACAGAGGGAUGCGAAGGGGUGACCCGGAGCGAAACCCAGAAAAACGGUCUCAGUUCGGAUUGGAGGCUGCAACCCGCCUCCAUGAAGCCGGAAUUGCUAGUAAUCGCGGNNNNNNGCCGCGGUCGAAUACGUUCCGGGCCUU
rnacentral:rRNA from 1 species